rnacentral:rRNA from 1 species
AGGAAGGUCCCCCACAUUGGAACUGAGACACGGUCCAAACUCCUACGGGAGGCAGCAGUGAGGAAUAUUGGUCAAUGGACGAGAGUCUGAACCAGCCAAGUAGCGUGAAGGAUGACUGCCCUAUGGGUUGUAAACUUCUUUUAUAUGGGAAUAAAGUUUUCCACGUGUGGAAUUUUGUAUGUACCAUAUGAAUAAGGAUCGGCUAACUCCGUGCCAGCAGCCGCGGUAAUACGGAGGAUCCGAGCGUUAUCCGGAUUUAUUGGGUUUAAAGGGAGCGUAGGUGGACUGGUAAGUCAGUUGUGAAAGUUUGCGGCUCAACCGUAAAAUUGCAGUUGAUACUGUCAGUCUUGAGUACAGUAGAGGUGGGCGGAAUUCGUGGUGUAGCGGUGAAAUGCUUAGAUAUCACGAAGAACUCCGAUUGCGAAGGCAGCUCACUGGACUGCAACUGACACUGAUGCUCGAAAGUGUGGGUAUCAAACAGGAUUAGAUACCCUGGUAGUCCACACAGUAAACGAUGAAUACUCGCUGUUUGCGAUAUACAGUAAGCGGCCAAGCGAAAGCAUUAAGUAUUCCACCUGGGGAGUACGCCGGCAACGGUGAAACUCAAAGGAAUUGACGGGGGCCCGCACAAGCGGAGGAACAUGUGGUUUAAUUCGAUGAUACGCGAGGAACCUUACCCGGGCUUAAAUUGCAUUUGAAUAUAUUGGAAACAGUAUAGCCGUAAGGCAAAUGUGAAGGUGCUGCAUGGUUGUCGUCAGCUCGUGCCGUGAGGUGUCGGCUUAAGUGCCAUAACGAGCGCAACCCUUAUCUUUAGUUACUAACAGGU